AUUCCUCAUCCCUCUCACCCUUAGCCGCCUACCACCCCAAAGAGUAUCUUCGUCGAUGGCUCAUCUCCAAAUCCGCCAAAAUCAUCACCAAAUAACCUCUGUUCCCUCCUCUUUCCAAAUCUCUUAGCCUCAUCUCUCGAAUUCCUCUCAAUUGAUUCGUAUAGCAGAUCUAAAAACGGAUAGAAACCCUAGUUUGCCUAUUUUUACCCAAUUUUUCAGUGGUUUAUGAACUCGUUUUGACCGCUUAGAUUACCUCCGAAGUUGCUUCUUCUUCUUCAAAUUCGGCAUGUAAUGAAUAUUGUUCCAUGUAGCAUUGGCUCGCAUGUGAAUUUGGCGGCAAGUGCUCACGUUACAAUCUCCAUUACCUGCCGGAAUUCCUGUAUUUGUUGGUGUUCGUUUGGCUUGCCGGAUUCCAGUUUUACGGAUUUGUUCAAGGUUAAUCGGGAUCCAGGUGUUCCCGGUCAUAGCUUGUGUUGAUAUUUGAGCAGCUAAUUCCGGAGACUAUCGAGGUAGCUGCAUGGUGUUCGCAGGCCUUGGCUCUCUUUCAUUAUCUUAUUCGUAUUUCAGUUCUUUUUCCUUAGAUGUUGUAUUAGACUGCUCCUGGUAUAGAUGCUCAUAUACUCAGUGACACCCCGAUGUCGGAUGUCGGGCUAAUUUUCUGCACUUAUGCUUUGGGUUUUACCCCGUUUUUAUGAAAAAUUCCGGUUAUUUUAAA